GCUCGCCCGCGCCCCGCCGCCGCCGCCCGCCCUGCCCGCCGCAGGCAGCGGGAGCAGGGCCGCGCUGGGCCGCGCCGUCGCCCGCGCGUGGCUGCGCGGCGGCCUGGGCCUGACCCGCCGGCCGGGCAAGGGCCAGCCCCGCCUGACAGCGGGGGCCUUUACCUGCCCCCCCCGGCUCCCCUCGGCUGCCGCCCAGCCCUCGCCUCACGGCGGUGUCCUCGGCCGGGCCGGGGGCAGCUACGCGCUCCCCGGUUGUGCGAAGUAGCUCAGGGUCUUUUAGCAGCCCCCUGUGCGUCCGCCGCCCCCUCCCGCCAUUAGCUGGCCCACGCCAGCGGGGCGGGAGGGAGGUGCAGCCCCUCUCUGAGGAAUUUUCUGAAGCCUCCCUCCCGCCCGCGAUCCCUCCUGUCAUCCUCCGAGACACCCUGAAGGCUCCGGUGUGUUGUAGGUGAGGAGCGAGCAGACAGUGCAGCCUGCGGACGGGACUCGGCGAUGGGGACGAGCUCGGCGCGCGGCAGGAGAAGGCACAGGCCUUAAAUCACCUUAUCAUGAUGUUUCUACGCAGCGGUGAUAAGUGCCUUGGGAAACUUCUACAGAGCAGAUAUGGGUUGGAGCACUCUGUGAAAACGCUUUAACGGCUGCGUGAUCUGGACUCACCAGGUUCCACAUCGCUGUUGUCUCUGCAGCAGAGCCGAGGCCCCAUCUGCAGCGUAUCUCAUUACCUCUUUCUGCAAUAAAUCAGCAAUGGAGUUAGGAACGGCAUCCUGAUUCCUCAGCCUUGGAAAUACAGGCAGGAGUUCUCAGUCCGCACUACCAGCAAAAUCAGUGCAGCUUGCACCCUGUGCCCUUCUUGGCCUUCACAGAGACAGGCAGAUAUUCUACUUGCAUGCAGUGGCUGCCAUAAGGAGACAUGGUCAUCAUUAAACCGAAAUCAAGAUAUCAUAAGGAUAGUCCUGAAAAGCAGGGUCCUUCAAAACGUGUUCUUCAGUGGCAGACUUCUCUCACUUUCCCUAACUUCCCCGGCUGCAGUCAUGAUGCACUGCGGUAAUUUUCUUCUCUCUGCUAAAAACCCCUCAGUAACAUGGGGAUGACAAGAUGCCUGGGACGAGGAAGUGAAAGACUGAACACUGAAAGAGCUAUUUGACCUGCAGCAUGCUGUGGGCAGUCCCACUUGAAUCUGUCGUGUCAGUGACACCAAUAAAACCACUGGGCACUGAUACUACUAAGGGACUUCUUACUACCAAACCUUUUGGAGAAGAGAUCAGAAGACUUCAAGGAGCUGUGGAUAGAGAAGAAGGUGCUAAUCAGCUUGUCACGAUCCCGGGUGUGACAAAGAAGCCCCACCUGGUAUGCUUCCUCACCUUCCUCCUCUUAACACACCACGAAGCGUCCACCGUCUGUAUGUAAACAGUCAUUACUGCCAUGGCAAUCCAGCUCAGUAGAAUGUAACUCAAAAUAAAGUUCCUCUAUCAAUAUUUGUUCUACUUCUGUUCACACCAGAAACUAAACAAGUUUGCAAGUUUUGCUGUUGAUAAUUCUGUAUGCCCUAAAACACUGGAAUCGCAGACGGAGGGCCAUGCUGACGUGCACUGAGCGGUGCCUUCCCUCUCCCAUCAUUUGACUGAGAUCAGUGGAGUGGUUUAUGACACAAGGUACAAUUCAAUGUCAAUAAGUAUAUCAAAACCUGGCUUUUUUUUCUGACUUCUAUCCUCAGAUCACAGACUUUUUUUUCCUAUUUGCACCAGUACUAUAUAUUAAAUAAUAAUUCCAUGUCACUCAAAUGUGCUGGGUUUUAUGUGAAUUCACUCCUUUUUUUCAUCUUAAUCUCUCUCUGAACAGGCUGCGGAUUCAUUCCCAUUGGUGCAUAUCUCUAGGGAUUCACGGAGGCUAAGCCUAUCCACCUAAAAGCUCUCUGACUCCUUUGUACCCGGCCUGGCUCCCUGCCUGCACCUACACACACUGCUGGCUGUACAUCUCAAAAACUUUGACAGUCCUGUGUUCGCUCAAACUCUACAUGGGGCUGAGUUUCACCUCAACCCGUUCACUCUAAUCCCAGCUUGUUUUGCUACCCAGCAUACAUUUUAUAUUUGAAGAACAACCUUUUGAAAUCCUGAGAAACAGAGGCACACCAGAAUAGCUCCAUGAGAAAUGCAGUAUCCCGACUCCAACAAUAGCCAAAGGCAGAUGCCCGGGAUCCUGUUUCGGAUGACUGCCAAUAGCAGGUGCCUGGGGGAGAGUGUACAAGGAAGGCAGGCAUGGUGAUAGAUACAUCACUGCAAAGACCAUUUCUGCAACUUUCUGUGCAAAUGCAAGAGGAAUAAAUAUGCCAUACUUCUAACCCAUGCUCUCAUGUCAUUGGCGGCAACUACAAAUACUACAGAGAAAAGAAAAAAUAGCAGGGUCUUCUCCAUCUUCUGUAAAGAGCAGUGCUAAAUACAUCUCCAAGCAUAAUAAUACCGUCUCAGCUCCAGGCCCGGGAAAUCCUUCUGGAUAGUAAUUACUCAGAUCAUUACUAUUUGACUCUUCCUUAGCCUUGAAAACAUUUUAAUGGUCUCAAUGCAACCACUGAAGUAUUUUCAAGAGGCUAAAGAGUACAUUUCAUACCAGUGUUCGAAACCCAUCUGCUCUAAUGUACGAUGUUAGAUGGCAUAUUUAAAAGAAAGGGAAACAAAUACCAAACCAGAACUGGAACUGAACUCAUUCUGUGACCUAUCAGUCCAGGACAGAACAGAAGCAAGUAACAAGUGCUGAGGAAGCUUGUACUUUUAUUGCUCAUUUAUCUUUUCUGUGGAUGCAAGAAUAUCUAAAACGUACUUGCAGGGUGGAGAACAAGGACAAAGUUAUAAAUGGAAAACACUGACUGGUCUUUUUAUUGCAAAGCACUCCAAAACCUGGUUGCAUCUUUUGGUGCAACUUAACUCAGAAGAUCAAACAGUAGAAAGCCUUUUUUUAUAUUUCUCUCUAGGUAAUCUUAUUUCUAAUGUGCCUAGGGUGAGACUAUCUUGGUACUAAUCAGAUCAGAGAGAGGUGACUACCUACCCGUUUGUCUGCUUUGGUUGUCCAGUGUGAUCUGUCUUAUGUUAGAAGCAUGAAGAUUUGCAACAUUUAUGACAGAAAUAGCAGAGAGAUAGGAAGAUCAUUUUCCAUUUCAUCUGCAGUAUGUUGAUUUGAUAUUCAGGGGAAAAAAGCAGGCAAGAUAUUAUUGAGGAGAAGAAAAUAUUCUAAGGAUAGCUUGAAAUGGCUUCUAAAUAUUUCUAUAAUAAACCUAUGAUAAAAUACUAGAUAUAUUACCCAUAAUAGUAAGUCUAUUUUAUGCAGUAUGCUUGGAAACUAUGCUUUAGUAUGACUUAUCCUCAUUUUUGAGGAUGUUCUUAUAAGAUUUGAGCUGAACUGAGUUGCAGACACACUAAACCAAACAACUUAAACAGAUGGUAGGAUGAUGACCUCACAUUGUGGUCUAGACAGGCCCAUGAAAUGACUGUGUAACAGAAAGGAGCCUCCAAAAUAGGAUGCAAUACAGAUUUUGGUGAAGGUAAACAAUGAAGUUAUGGGGUAUAUAGUAAAUUUAAACAGUAAAUCUAAGUAUGUUCUGUAGAACGAAAAUGUUAAUUGUUAUUUGUCCUUGAAACCACUUGGUUGUCUGCACCUGCUUGAUAAAACAUAGGGUUGGAGUAGAUUUUCAGGCUGACUAUCUAUACAAUGAACCUGUUCUUUAGUGGGGGCUCCAUAAACUCAGCAGAGACAAGCUGCACAUAUCUAUUGACUUUAAAUGAAGUCUAUGCGUAAGUGCUUUCCUUCACAGGGAAAUAUACUUUCCAAGUACAUUUCCAAGUUUUUCACAGGUAGGAUUAUCGGUGCUAGAAAUAAGUGCUAAAUUGGUAAUUUUUCUCUUUCAGUGAUUAAAGAUUUUCUUAACAGUUAAUCAUUGAAAAAUUCAGCUGAAUUGAAAAUUUAUUAUUUUGUAUCUCUAAUUCAAUUAAUUAUGAAGUAAGAAGAAAAUAAUUUUCUAUUUAUUUUUGUCAUGGUGCCAGGCUCAGAGUUUGAAGCAUUAGAAGCAACACAAGGAGGUGAGGUUAGUGAGCAGACUACAAGGUGCAGAAGAUGUAAAGGUGCAAAGCUCAUAGCUGUGGCUGAUUACAAUUUUUCCUGUGGACAUUAUCACCACAGAUGGGUGACCAAGUAUUUUUGCACGGAUUUGAAGGUGGUUUGAGUCAGAGUACACUGUUUUAAACAGGAGGUGACUUGAAGAAUUCCACAUAUCAUUUGCUAUAUAUAUGGGCAUACAUAUAUAUGGGCAGCACAUAUAUAUGUCUGUCUGCAUUAAAGUAUAAAAAGAACUUUCUGAUGAAGCAUAAUAUCAACAUUUUAUUGGCAUAAGUUUUUAUUAUCUAGAAAUAAUGGGAAUUACCUAAGGAUGGAUUACAAUGGAUGAGUUACUUAGCUCUCUCUAAGUGACAUCUGAUAAAGCCUUUAUAUCUCACUACAGUAGUGACCGAACAGGUUUAUGAAGAAUACUUACCAUUCUUGCACUCCUAUCCUGUGCUUGUCUAAGUUUCCCUAUAUCAAGAAAAGUAAGAGUCAGACUUCCACCUAACGCCAAACAGGUGUGGUUCCAGUGUCAGCAGAGCUGAACUCGUUCACAUCACCUGAAGUGGGUGUGAAGGAAGCCAUCUCAACCAAGCAUAACCAGCCCAAACUUUCUGUCUCUGUCUGCAGAAGUGAAGUCUUUACAGCCUGUAGAGGAGCCCUAGGACUUGGAGAGGCCAUAUCUGAGGAGUCUAAUUCCAGCAGAAUUAGCUUGCUCGUAUUUUGAACAUCUGCAAAGUCUAAUGUGAGUUGAAUACUAAGUAGAAAUGUCUUAGUUUGUUAGCAGAGCAUGGCACAGUGCCAUCUAUUUCAAUGCAACUUCUUUGUCACGUUACAUGCUUUUUGUAUAUAUCAUACACACUUCAAAGAUACUAUUUUUGGAAUCAUUUUUAAGAGUUUUGUUAUGCUUAUGGAACUGAUUCUUGUAUCUUUCCCCAAAACCUGGUAGUUAGAUGAUAGCAUGCAAAACUCUUGCAAAAGAGACAAAAAAUCAAAUCGUGACAGUAAAAUGCUCCAGCAAUUGCCCUGCAUAAGUUUUAUUCAUCUAAAAUUCUAGCUUUAGGUUGUUCUGUGCUAUUCAGGUCAGAAAAUAAAUGCUGGAAACUAACAGUAAGAAAAAAAUGUCUUAUUUCUCGAAGAAUUAAAGAACCAGUAGACAAGUUACUGAGUUUUUAUUACUGUACAUCUGAAUUUUGCCUAGUCUACACCUCAGACAGAAGUAAUUUGUGGAAGAAACUUAUGGGUUUGGGAGGAAGAAAUAUUUUUAUGGCUAUUUGUGAUAUUAAGAAAUGGACAGCUGCUUAAAUACACUCAGUGGUUUGGAAUGUCAGCCCAAGUACUGGGGAAAUGACUUGGUGGAAAGGUUCACAGCCAAAACCAUCCAGUGCACAUCCAUAUGGUUAUCCCAGGCCUUCCAAAGGCAUAACAGCUUGUUUUGCACCCUGGAAAUGGGACAGAUUAGCAGCAUACAAGGACUUGCUUUUUGUUGGUAUGUCUAAGUGUUCAGAGAUACUUCUGAAGUCUCGUUAGGAUAGCAGCCUUUGGAAAGAUGUGAUUACAACACAGUGUAAUUUACUGUGCCUGCAUGCUUUACCACAAGGCUAUGAUCUCCAGCUCUCUGGUGUUUGGUAUGAGAAUGCUUACCUAGAGCUGUAGGUAUAAUAAAUAUAUCCAAGCUAGACUGUGCCUCCAGGCAGAUAUUCUGUUGAUGCUACUGUCCUUCCUGUUAUGUCUUGUGAUGUUUUGCUGCACUCAUCUACUCAUCCCAUAAGACGUUCAUGUGAGCAGCUCUGUGGUUUUAUUUUCAUGUUUAAAACAAGUUGCUAUAAUCAGCUUCUCUGUAACGUAAACUGCAGUUGUCAGGAGCAUGUUAAAGUAUGACUUUUCAGGCUCAGCUAUGCUCUACUCUAUUAUUAGAGGCUUAAACUACAGUGUGGAGAAAUUCUACAAUGAGAGUGAAGCUCUCUGUCCUUUCCUGGGAUUCAGCGUGGCCAUAUUUGAUAACCACCCCGGGUUUGUUUCGAUGCUGUUACGUUUGAGACCUGCCUUCUGCGCGUAAGCGGAGUGUUGGUAACUCGUCGCUAACCACCCUAGGUUAUAUCACAGGGGUGAUAAGCCCCGUUCAAGUGCCGGCUUUGAGGCAGAGAGACAUCAAGUGAGUAUACGGAGUGGCUGCUAGAGAGUCUACUCAUGAACCAUAUCAAAGCCCUAUUAAGUGGGAUGGUGUUUUUCCUGUGAUUUCAGUGUACUUUAAGUUAUUUCCUGAGACACUUUUCUGGGGAAAGUGCCAGUGAAAAAUAUUAAGGACAGCGAUGUAAGGAGGUGCUAAAUGCUUGAGCAGAAUCUUUCGAAGGUAGUAACUUGUUUUAUGGCCAUUAGUAGUACUGCAUUAUAACUUAAAUAAAGGUACAGGAACACAUCUUUCAUGACUUACAUGGGUACAUUCCCAUUGACUCUCACUGUAAGAAUGUGACCUGUGUAUUUAAAAAAUAACAUUAAGUAUAUUAAAGGAAAAAUCUCUUUGCAGUUUAUUUCUAGAGCGUGUUCAGUUGAGGAUGCUUCUGUUUAGUCGUUACCGCUCAAUGGUGUGUUCUAAACUGAAAGGCCCCUGUGAAUAGCCACUCAUGCUCCCGUGACAAAAAUAAAAUAAAGCAUAAUAAGUUAGCAGCUUUGCAGUCAGGAAACCCAGGAAUGAAAUUCUGAAAUAGCUCUGGCUGUGAAGUCAAGAAAAUCAACCAGUUGGAUUUCAACUCCUUGUAAAUUAGAAACUUCAGCCUACCGGGAAAAGGGAUGGAUGCUUUGUUACAUUCCCAGAGAGUCCUGAUGUACAUCUUAAACGUGUGUAAGAGCAUCAAGAUUCUGUCAAGAUGAAUCCCUUAGUAGUAGCUGUUGAAACAGUGAUAAUCUGCCAGUAACUAAAGACCUUCUUAGAACAGUUUUAAAGGGACACUUGAAUGCAAAGGUAUGAUGGAAAUAUUUGAAUUAGAUCAUGUUUUGAACAGGUGGUUGGCAUGUCUUCUUCCAAUCUAGAAAAAGCUAAUGCUUUCUAUCCACCAGGCAUGAAAGAGGAAUUAUUCUGCUGCAACUCGGUUUUUCAGUCUUCAUACCUACAUGAAUAGAGGAAAGCUUGGUGAUUGAUUGUUUCUGACAGGUAACUUGUUUGCUUUGAUUUGAGAAUUUGCACUUAGGAAAGAGUUGAGUUGUAAGACUUAUUCAUUGGUACAACUGGGCAAUGUAUUAUUGGUUUCAAAAGAUAAAUUAAAAGGGGGGGGGGGAAAGCAGUCACUUCAGUUCAAGUGAAACACAAUUUUUUUCUUUUUUUUCUAAAAAAAAAAAAGUCAUGUUGACACAAAAUAUUUUCUUUAGCCUAAAUGUUUCAUUUUUAUAGUUAUUUUACCCUUUAAAAUAUUUUUAAAUGAAAGUUUUAUUUUCAAAAGAAAAAAUAUUUUUUUGAAAAUGUCAAAAUAAGAUCUAAAUUACUUAUUUUUACCCUUAGAGCUGUUUUACAGAUUCACAGAUUUGGAAGAUUAUAAUUCCUGUGAAAAUGUUUAUGUGAAUUUAAUAUUUGCAUAAAUGUCUUUUUAUAAUGCCUUUCCUCACAUUUCCAAUAUAAGUGCAGAUACAUGUAGUAGUGGGGAACUGAUCCCUGUUUUCUGUCUACACAAGGUCUGCAAAAUGCUUUAGAACAUGUAAACUACAAUGUAGGAAAUAGAUACCAUAGAGGCCCUUUUUGCAGCUGGCGAGCGGGCAGAGCUGCAGCUCUGCUCUGCUUGUGUGGGGCCAUCCUGCCCGCAGGAGAGCUCAGUUUAGUCCCUGCGCUGUUCCCUCGUGGUGUUACUUGCUGCCCCAGGCAGUCUGCUGUAAGCUGCCCAAGCCGGAUACUGUAUCUUUGUACAUAUUUGUACAAGAAUCCUGAUCCUGAUAGAGCUCUUUGAGAGUUUUUGUACUACAAAUAGCUCAUAAUCAAAAGUGAAUUGAUUGAAACUGAGAAAAUGUAAGGCUCAUUUCCAAAAGGACAGAACAAUACAUCCAAAAGGACAUUUUCUAAUAUGUCAUAAGGAAUCGUUGUGAAAACUAUCCUGAUAAGUAUCAGACUAAAAUUAUUUUCUCUUUGCUAUGUGCUAUAUACUAUAUACCUAAGUUCUACUUUCUGUUUUAUCUCCAGCUUUGGGGGCGGUUCUUGAUGCAAUUACCAUUCACACAAUUCAGACUUACAUAUUUAAGAAACAAAUUUAAUCUUAACACCUGAAUAUAAUUCGUAUUUUCCUUCUAUUUUUGUAACAUUGAUUUUAUAUUCUAAACCUACAAGAUGUCAAACAAUUCUUGGACUCACAGAGUUUCAAAAUACUACCUUUUUAAUUUGAAAUUAUGGGUAAGUGAAGAAAGCAACUUACCUAAAUGAUUGUGCUUUCCCUUUUUCUUUUUCUAACAUAACUACUACUUCUAUAUAAAAAAACAAGCAGUUAGAAUGGUUCUGGUUUGCUUUCAAACUGCAUUGGCUUAGCUUUAUAUGAUAACCGAAACUCCAGUCUUUAUAUGCUUGUCUCUCUAUCUAUAUAUAGCUAUGUUUUUUAAAAAUGAUUAGGGAAUCUGAAUAUCAAAAUAAGUUACCUUAAAAAGACUAGAUUUCAAAGGACUUAAGCUUAUCUUGUAACUUAAAAAUACAUUCAUGAGUGUGUUUGUAUGUAUACAUAAAUAUAUAAUUAACAGUUUUAAAUAAUAUUAUGAAACAACGUAAAUGCAUAAUGUUAUUUAAAAUGUAAAAAUUGCACAUAGUUGAGCAUGCAGAGGAUUUAUUUCAUAUGUUUUUCAGAAGUCUCCUGAUUAUAGUUUUUGUAAGAGUAGGGACUGCUCUUUUAUUGUAUUUAUUUACACUUUGGGUUUUGUGUAAAAACUGCUUGGUAGGACAGAAACUAACACAUCUGAGUAGGAAAUACUACUGUGAACUCCAGAAUUAAAGAAUCCAGUUAUCCUUCCAA